rnacentral:rRNA from 1 species
GAUGAACGCUGGCGGCGUGCCUAAUACAUGCCAGUCGAGCGAACGGACGAGAAGCUUGCUUUUCUGAUGUUAGCGGCGGACGGGUGAGUAACACGUGGAUAACCUACCUAUAAGACUGGGAUAACUUCGGGAAACCGGAGCUACUACCGGAUAAUAUUUUGAACCGCAUGGUUCAAAAGUGAAAGACGGUCUUGCUGUCACUUAUAGAUGGAUCCGCGCUGCAUUAGCUAGUUGGUAAGGUAACGGCUUACCAAGGCAACGAUGCAUAGCCGACCUGAGAGGGUGAUCGGCCACACUGGAACUGAGACACGGUCCAGACUCCUACGGGAGGCAGCAGUAGGGAAUCUUCCGCAAUGGGCGAAAGCCUGACGGAGCAACGCCGCGUGAGUGAUGAAGGUCUUCGGAUCGUAAAACUCUGUUAUUAGGGAAGAACAUAUGUGUAAGUAACUGUGCACAUCUUGACGGUACCUAAUCAGAAAGCCACGGCUAACUACGUG